rnacentral:misc_RNA from 1 species
GAUGAAGAACGUAGCGAAAUGCGAUAAGUAAUGCGAAUUGCAGAAUUCCAGUGAGUCAUCGAAUCUUUGAACGCACAUUGCGCCCCCUGGUAUUCCGGGGGGCAUGCCUGUUCGAGCGUCAUUUCACCACUCAAGUCUCGCUUGGUAUUGGGCAACGCGGUCCGCCGCGUGCCUCAAAUCGACCGGCUGGGUCUUCUGUCCCCUAAGCGUUGUGGAAACUUUCGCUAAAGGGUGUUCGGGAGGCUACGCCGUAAAACAACCCCAUUUCUAAGGUUGACCUCGGAUCAGGUAGGGAUACCCGCUGAACUUAAGCAUAUCAAUAAGCGGAGGA